CGGACGGGUGAGUAACGCGUGGGGAACCUGCCCCAUACCGGGGGAUAACAGCGGGAAACCGCUGCUAAUACCGCAUAAGCGCACACUGAGGCAUCUCAGAGUGUGAAAAACUCCGGUGGUAUGGGAUGGACCCGCGUUGGAUUAGCCAGUUGGCGGGGUAACGGCCCACCAAAGCGACGAUCCAUAGCCGGCCUGAGAGGGUGAACGGCCACAUUGGGACUGAGACACGGCCCAGACUCCUACGGGAGGCAGCAGUGAGGAAUAUUGGACAAUGGAGGCAACUCUGAUCCAGCCAUGCCGCGUGAAGGACGAAGGCCCUAUGGGUCGUAAACUUCUUUUGUCGUAGAGCAAUAAGGUGUACGCGUACAUCGAUGAGAGUAUACGACGAAUAAGCAUCGGCUAACUCCGUGCCAGCAGCCGCGGUAAUACGGAGGAUGCAAGCGUUAUCCGGAUUUAUUGGGUUUAAAGGGUGCGUAGGCGGACGUAUAAGUCAGCGGUGAAAGGUACCGGCUCAACCGGUGAGCUGCCGUUGAAACUGUGCGACUGGAAUGCGGAUGCCGUGGGAGGAAUGUGUGGUGUAGCGGUGAAAUGCUUAGAUAUCACACAGAACACCGAUUGCGAAGGCAUCUCACGAAUCCGUUAUUGACGCUGAGGCACGAAGGCGUGGGGAUCAAACAGGAUUAGAUACCCUGGUAGUCCACGCGGUAAACGAUGAUGGCUAACUGCCGGCGAUAUAGUGUCGGUGGCCAAGCGAAAGCGAUAAGCCAUCCACCUGGGGAGUACGACCGCAAGGUUGAAACUCAAAGGAAUUGACGGGGGCCCGCACAAGCGGAGGAACAUGUGGUUUAAUUCGAUGAUACGCGAGGAACCUUACCCGGGCUCGAACGGCUAGUGAACGACUCAGAGAUGAGAAGGUCCUUCGGGACACUAGUCGAGGUGGUGCAUGGUUGUCGUCAGCUCGUGCCGUGAGGUGUCGGCUUAAGUGCCAUAACGAGCGCAACCCUUGUCGCUAGUUACCAUCAAGUAGUGUUGGGGACUCUAGCGAGACUGCCACCGCAAGGUGAGAGGAAGGCGGGGAUGACGUCAAAUCAGCACGGCCCUUACGUCCGGGGCGACACACGUGUUACAAUGGCGGUUACAGAGG
rnacentral:rRNA from 1 species